AAAUCCGUCGAAUUUUCAAUCGUGAGGGUUCAAGUCCCUCUAUCCCCA
rnacentral:tRNA from 1 species